rnacentral:pre_miRNA from 1 species
GGUAUUGGCGCGCCUCAAUCGGAAGGCAUGGCUAAUAUACAUUUACCAGAAGCUGGAUGACCAAAUGAGUAAAUAUUGAUAAGAUUGAUGAUGAUUAAUUAGCCAUGUGGAUUUUUGAUUGAGCCGCGUCAAUAUC